AGAGUUUGAUCCUGGCUCAGGAUGAACGCUAGCUACAGGCUUAACACAUGCAAGUCGAGGGGAAACGGCAUUUAGUGCUUGCACCGAAUGGACGUCGACCGGCGCACGGGUGAGUAACGCGUAUCCAACCUUCCCAUAACUAAGGGAUAACCUGCCGAAAGGCAGACUAAUACCUUAUGUAAUCCUUUGAUGGCAUCAGAUAAGGAUAAAAGAUUUAUCGGUUAUGGAUGGGGAUGCGUCUGAUUAGCUUGUUGGCGGGGUAACGGCCCACCAAGGCAACGAUCAGUAGGGGUUCUGAGAGGAAGGUCCCCCACAUUGGAACUGAGACACGGUCCAAACUCCUACGGGAGGCAGCAGUGAGGAAUAUUGGUCAAUGGGCGAGAGCCUGAACCAGCCAAGUAGCGUGCAGGAUGACGGCCCUAUGGGUUGUAAACUGCUUUUGUAUGGGGAUAAAGUCAAUCACGUGUGAUUGUUUGCAGGUACCAUACGAAUAAGGACCGGCUAAUUCCGUGCCAGCAGCCGCGGUAAUACGGAAGGUCCAGGCGUUAUCCGGAUUUAUUGGGUUUAAAGGGAGCGUAGGCCGGAGAUUAAGUGUGUUGUGAAAUGUAGACGCUCAACGUCUGACUUGCAGCGCAUACUGGUUUCCUUGAGUACGCACAACGUUGGCGGAAUUCGUCGUGUAGCGGUGAAAUGCUUAGAUAUGACGAAGAACUCCGAUUGCGAAGGCAGCUGACGGGAGCGCAACUGACGCUUAAGCUCGAAGGUGCGGGUAUCGAACAGGAUUAGAUACCCUGGUAGUCCGCACAGUAAACGAUGGAUGCCCGCUGUUGGUUCAUUAGGGUCAGCGGCCAAGCGAAAGCAUUAAGCAUCCCACCUGGGGAGUACGCCGGCAACGGUGAAACUCAAAGGAAUUGACGGGGGCCCG
rnacentral:rRNA from 1 species